rnacentral:rRNA from 1 species
UACAGAGGUCUCAAGCGUUUGUUCGGAUUCAUUGGGCGUAAAGCGCGCGUAGGCGGCUUUGCAAGUCGGGUGUGAAAUCCCCAGGCUUAACCUGGGAACUGCAUUCGAGACUGCAUUGCUAGAGUAUGGGAGAGGGAAGUGGAAUUUCCGGUGUAGCGGUGAAAUGCGUAGAUAUCGGAAGGAACAUCAGUGGCGAAAGCGACUUCCUGGACCAAUACUGACGCUCAUGUGCGAAAGCGUGGGGAGCAAACAGG